GAGAAGAAUAGUUUAUCUUUGGUUCCAUGUAUCAUAGUCUUGACUCUUUCAUAUAACUAAAUUGUAAUGCAUUAGUCUCUAUCAUGAAGUGAAUCUCGCGCUUCUUUAGCUUAUUAGCUUUUGAAGUUUUGCUUCUCAAUCUCCACAUUUAGCAAGAGUUGUGUGAUGUCAUUAAUUCCAAGAUAAUAAAGGAAUGAUUAUUUACAAUUGUCUUGCUUUUUGUUUAAAAGAUCUCUUUCAUUCUCAUUUUGGUGAUUCAUUUUAGUUAAUACUAAAUAAAAGAGAUAUUAGAUUUGAUUGAUCAUGUUCUCAUAGUAAGUUCAUUAAACCUCAACCUAAUUUGCUUUAGUUUUAUAUAAUGACAGGAUUAUGAGUGCACCAGCUAGGUUGUUGGACUUGUGUAUAGCAGAUUAUAUAUAUCAUCUAAUAAAAAGACAAGAAAAUAUCUAUUGCAUCAACAAUAUUCAUCUGUUCACUUGGAAAAUAGACUUGUUGCAGACCAAUACAAGUGCAAAAGGAAGCAAGUUCAUCAUAACUGAAGAUCGAGUCAAAAAGAAGCUUAAGUGUAUUUUUGUACAUCUAAGGAUUAACGAUCAAGUGAAACUUGCGAUGCCUUUAUUCACAUGGGGAACUCCCUGUAUUCUAUGAAAUAUGUUUCACAACAGAGAUACUGGAAGGGUUUGAUGUACAAAGGACGAGUGGUUUUGCUGAUACCGUGAGAAAAUAUGGCUCUCUCACAAAAUCUAUAAUGCACUACUACAGUGAGCAGUUCUGCAUUGGCAAGGUCAGGUACUCUAGGGUUUGCCUCUCAUAUGAGGAAUUUGUCAAUAAAUGCAAGAUCUUGAAAAGAUGACUGUUAGUGACGUUUUUGCUCUUCAACUCAUGCAGGUUCCUCAGGUAACAGAAGAUAUUGCUCUUGCUGUUGUGGGCUGAUAUCCAACAGUUUUUUCCCUGGCACAGGCAUACUUUCAGCUGACUUCAAGUUCUAGGGUCUUUGGAGCAUUCCCAUUCUUGCAUUGGGGCGUCCUUGCAAAGGAAAAGACAAACUCCAGGAGUGGAAGAAAUGACUUGGAUGUAAUUGUUUUUGCUCUAAUUGGUUCACUUAGUAGCUACUUGAGUUUUGGACUGAUUGAUAAUUCAAUCAUAGAAUGUAUAUCACUGUAACCAUCAUUAAAAUCUCUACAAUUCCCUUAUCUGAGUUAUACAAUAGCAAUGUAACCUGAGGCCAUUUCGCAAUCUACACGUCC